rnacentral:misc_RNA from 1 species
CCAAUAGCGUAUAUUAAAGUUGUUGCAGUUAAAAAGCUCGUAGUUGAAUUUCGGGGUUCUUCCGUUGGUCAGGCUAACAAGUCUGUACUAGCGUGUAGAAUCUCUACCUUCUGGGGAACCAUCAUGUUAUUAAUUUAGCGUGGUGGGAAACCAGGACCUUUACCUUGAAAAAAUUAGAGUGUUCAAAGCAGGCUUACGUCUGAAUACAUUAGCAUGGAAUAAUAAAAUAGGACGGUGGUCCUGUUUUGUUGGUUUCUGAAUCACCGUAAUGAUUAAUAGGGAUAGUUGGGGGCAUUAGUAUUCAAUUGUCAGAGGUGAAAUUCUUGGAUUUAUUGAAGACUAACUUCUGCGAAAGCAUUUGCCAAGGAUGUUUUCAUUAAUCAAGAACGAAAGUUAGGGGAUCGAAGACGAUCAGAUACCGUCGUAGUCUUAACCAUAAACUAUGCCGACUAGGGAUCGGACGAUGUUAAAUUUUAGUGACUCGUUCGGCGCCUUACG